AGUACACCUAAUAGUUUUUGAAUAAUUAACAUAAAAUGUGGUGGUUUUCAUCCUUUAUUUGUAUCAUGUUUAUCUUCAACUGCAUCUGCGAAGUCAGAAGCGGAGCUUUCGAUGUAAAAAAGAAAUUUUUUCUUAGGAAAGAACACAAUGAUACAAAAUUUAUUAAUCAUGGAACAAGUGAGGACUCGAGAUACAUUGAAAUUAGUGAUGAGAAAUUGUUUCGUGGAGCAGC